UUCCUGUUGUGCUGAGCCAGGUUUUACAGUUGCGUGAUCAUACGUAUAUGUAUACACGCACACAUAACUUCCGUUUGAGGGCCUGCUCUGGGGGGCCACUGCCAUUUACCACCUAGAACUAGGGAGACAGGAGCAAGGAGAUCUUGAGAGCAGAAAACAAAACGACAAAACACAAAGAAAAAAAAAAAACUGUUAAAAGAUUUAAAAAUUACCUGCAAUCCCAUCAAUUUAGCAGCACAGCAACCAUCUGUUGAAUGGCAACUACUGAACUACACCCAGAUCUUCUUCUAGCAAAUCAAACACCUCUGUCCUCCAGCUAGGGUGUGGUGGCACAAGCUAGCUAGCUGUGUUGGCCAACCAACUGCUUGCAUCUGACCCAGCUAUA
rnacentral:lncRNA from 1 species